rnacentral:lncRNA from 1 species
GGAGGCUUCUCUGAGACUGGGAAGGAGUGGAAACUCAGUAGCCCGUGGUCCUGGUUGCGCGCUCCCUCCCAUGUCUUCAUUAUCUGAUUUGGUAAAAUAUCUACAAGACGGGGGAGUCCGGGCUGCUUUCUUUGACACUGGUCAUCACUCCACACCUAGACGCUAUGUCCAUGUCUGGAAGAUGCUUUUAAGGAAGUUUUGAUGCAGAGAAGAGUGGCCGGUGCUCUUCCUCGCGUGCCACCAUCUGCUUACUUCCAGAAGCUAAUUAUUUUCAUGUGACUGAUGUGACUAAUAUUUUUUAACGCCUGCAGUUUACAGGGACUCUUCUCAUGAUUUU